rnacentral:rRNA from 1 species
UACGUAGGGUGCAAGCGUUAUCCGGAAUUAUUGGGCGUAAAGAGCUCGUAGGCGGUUUGUCGCGACUGCUGUGAAAACUGGGGGCUCAACCCCCAGCCUGCAGUGGGUACGGGCAGACUAGAGUGCGGUAGGGGAGAUUGGAAUUCCUGGUGUAGCGGUGGAAUGCGCAGAUAUCAGGAGGAACACCGAUGGCGAAGGCAGAUCUCUGGGCCGUAACUGACGCUGAGGAGCGAAAGCAUGGGGAGCGAACAGG